rnacentral:misc_RNA from 1 species
GCUUGUUGUCACCUCCCUGUAUUCAAGUUGAUUGUUUGGACGCCUUUUAUCUUGUGUGUGCUGUAUUUAGGCGUUAGAGGGUUCGAUUUAGGAAUUUGUUUUUCUGUUCCUUUAGCGGGUAUGAAGUUUCAUGUCGGUUCUUCUUCUCUUUCUUCUCGUAUGCCUCGCUUUCGUUAAGUGUUGUUUGGAGUUGCUCGUAUGCAGUCCUUUGCUUUGACUGUCGCCG